AAACCGCUUAGGGGUUAAGCCCGAUGAACCUGAAUAUCUGAUGUGAGAAAUUCAAUACUAUACAAAUUUGUAUUUUUAAUAUAAAUUGUACUGUAUGCACUUUUCUCAUAGUAAGACAUUGUAAUCCAUUAAUAUUAUAUCUCUUUAUUGAGAUGGUUUAACAUAAGGACAAAAUGUAUUGGAUUAUUCUAUCAGUGAUGUGUUUUUCAUAUCAUAUGAAUAAAAUUCGUUUUGUACCCGUUUAAAUAGUUGAUGGAUUUUAUGACAAUCAUGCUUUCAAAAAUUUAUUUUUGAGUUUCGGAUUAUUAAUUUUUAAUUAGUAGUAGCAAGAAAUGGCAUGUAUUUGAUUAACAAUGCGAUAGAUUUGGGAUGCCUUCGGGACCCGUCUUGAAACACGGACCAAGGAGUCUAACAUAUGUGCAAGUCAUUGAGUAUUUUGUUGAAACCUAAUGGCGCAAUUAAAAUGACUAUAUUUUUAAUUUGGGAUCACAAGUAAUGUUCAAAUUUAUGCAUUAUUUUUUAAUCCCGGGGCGUUCUAUACGAACAUGAUAUAAGCGAUUAUGUCCUCUGUUUAAGAGCGUACCUUGAGCACAUAUGCUGU
rnacentral:rRNA from 1 species